AUUGAACGCUGGCGGCAGGCCUAACACAUGCAAGUCGAACGAGUGGCGGACGGGUGAGUAAUGUCUGGGAAACUGCCCGAUGGAGGGGGAUAACUACUGGAAACGGUAGCUAAUACCGCAUACCAUCGGAUGUGCCCAGAUGGGAUUAGCUAGUUGGGGGGGUAAAGGCUCACCGAGGCGACGAUCCCUAGCUGGUCUGAGAGGAUGACCAGCCACACUGGAACUGAGACACGGUCCAGACUCCUACGGGAGGCAGCAGUGGGGAAUAUUGCACAAUGGGCGCAAGCCUGAUGCAGCCAUUCCGCGUGUAUGAAGAAGGCCUUCGGGUUGUAAAGUACUUUCAGCGGGGAGGCGUUACCCGCAGAAGAAGCACCGGCUAACUCCGUGCCAGCAGCCGCGGUAAUUC
rnacentral:rRNA from 1 species